rnacentral:rRNA from 1 species
AGCGCCGAAUUUGCUAACAAGGUUGGUCGAUUUUUUCAAGCCGUCGCGCAGUGUACCUAGAAGUACACGAGCAACGGAAGUUAAAAAAUCGGGCAAGAUUGAACGCAAAGGAAAGCGGGACAUUUGAGGAUGGGGUGACUGCGUACCUUUUGUAUAAUGGGUCAGCGACUUAUAUUCUGUAGCAAGGUUAACCGUAUAGGGGAGCCGUAGGGAAACCGAGUCUUAACUGGGCGAAUGAGU